GACGAACGCUGGCGGCGUGCUUAACACAUGCAAGUCGAACGGUGAACCGCCUUCGGGCGGGGAUCAGUGGCGAACGGGUGGGUAACACGUGGGUAACCUGCCUGUAAGACGGGGAUAACUUCGGGAAACCGAAGCUAAUACCGGAUGAUAAAGAGAAACGCCUGUUUCUGUUUUGAAAGUCGGCCUCUUCCUGAAAGCUAUCACUUGAGGAUGAGCCCGCGGCCUAUUAGCUAGUUGGUAGGGUAACGGCCUACCAAGGCGACGAUGGGUAGCCGGCCUGAGAGGGUGUACGGCCACACUGGCACUGAGAUACGGGCCAGACUCCUACGGGAGGCAGCAGUGGGGAAUUUUGCGCAAUGGGGGAAACCCUGACGCAGCAACGCCGCGUGAGCGAUGAAGGCCUUCGGGUCGUAAAGCUCUUUUAGUGGGGAAGAAGCCCUCCAGGGUUAAUACCCCUGGGGUCUGACGGUACCCACAGAAAAAGUUCCGGCUAACUACGUGCCAGCCGCCGCGGUAAGAC
rnacentral:rRNA from 1 species